UACAGAGGUCUCAAGCGUUGUUCGGAUUCAUUGGGCGUAAAGGGUGCGUAGGCGGCGCGGUAAGUCGGGUGUGAAAUCUUGGAGCUUAACUCCGAAACUGCAUUCGAUACUGCCGUGCUUGAGGACUGGAGAGGAGACUGGAAUUUACGGUGUAGCGGUGAAAUGCGUAGAUAUCGUAAGGAAGACCAGUGGCGAAGGCGGGUCUCUGGACCAUAACUGACGCUGAGAAGCGAAAAGCAUGGGGGAGCGAACAGG
rnacentral:rRNA from 1 species